rnacentral:rRNA from 1 species
AAUGAACGUUGGCGGCGUGGAUUAGGCAUGCAAGUCGUGCGAGAAACCUCCUUCGGGAGGUGGAAAGCGGCGCAAGGGAGAGUAACGCGUAGGUACUACCCCCGAGUCCGGGAUAGCUGCGGGAAACUGCAGGUAAUACCGGAUAACAUCCCCGGAUCAAAGGUGUGAUUCCGCUUGGGGAGGGGCCUACGUCCUAUUAGCUUGUUGGUGGGGUAAAGGCCUACCAAGGCUGCGAUGGGUACCGGGCGUGAGAGCGUGACCCGGCUCACUGGGACUGAGACACUGCCCAGACACCUACGGGUGGCUGCAGUCGAGAAUCUUCGGCAAUGGGCGCAAGCCUGACCGAGCGACGCCGCGUGCGGGAUGAAGGCCUUCGGGUUGUAAACCGCUGUCGGAGGGGAGGAAAUGCAUAGGGGUUCUCUCCUAUGUUUGACCUAUCCUCAGAGGAAGGACGGGCUAAGUUCGUG